UUGAAGAGUUUGAUCAUGGCUCAGAUUGAACGCUGGCGGCAGGCCUAACACAUGCAAGUCGAACGGUAACAGGAAACAGCUUGCUGUUUCGCUGACGAGUGGCGGACGGGUGAGUAAUGUCUGGGAAACUGCCUGAUGGAGGGGGAUAACUACUGGAAACGGUAGCUAAUACCGCAUAACGUCGCAAGACCAAAGAGGGGGACCUUAGGGCCUCUUGCCAUCGGAUGUGCCCAGAUGGGAUUAGCUAGUAGGUGGGGUAAAGGCUCACCUAGGCGACGAUCCCUAGCUGGUCUGAGAGGAUGACCAGCCACACUGGAACUGAGACACGGUCCAGACUCCUACGGGAGGCAGCAGUGGGGAAUAUUGCACAAUGGGCGCAAGCCUGAUGCAGCCAUGCCGCGUGUAUGAAGAAGGCCUUCGGGUUGUAAAGUACUUUCAGCGGGGAGGAAGGAGUAAAGUUAAUACCUUUGCUCAUUGACGUUACCCGCAGAAGAAGCACCGGCUAACUCCGUGCCAGCAGCCGCGGUAAUACGGAGGGUGCAAGCGUUAAUCGGAAUUACUGGGCGUAAAGCGCACGCAGGCGGUUUGUUAAGUCAGAUGUGAAAUCCCCGGGCUCAACCUGGGAACUGCAUCUGAUACUGGCAAGCUUGAGUCUCGUAGAGGGGGUAGAAUUCCAGGUGUAGCGGUGAAAUGCGUAGAGAUCUGGAGGAAUACCGGUGGCGAAGGCGGCCCCCUGGACGAAGACUGACGCUCAGGUGCGAAAGCGUGGGGAGCAAACAGGAUUAGAUACCCUGGUAGUCCACGCCGUAAACGAUGUCGACUUGGAGGUUGUGCCCUUGAGGCGUGGCUUCCGGAGCUAACGCGUUAAGUCGACCGCCUGGGGAGUACGGCCGCAAGGUUAAAACUCAAAUGAAUUGACGGGGGCCCGCACAAGCGGUGGAGCAUGUGGUUUAAUUCGAUGCAACGCGAAGAACCUUACCUGGUCUUGACAUCCACGGAAGUUUUCAGAGAUGAGAAUGUGCCUUCGGGAACCGUGAGACAGGUGCUGCAUGGCUGUCGUCAGCUCGUGUUGUGAAAUGUUGGGUUAAGUCCCGCAACGAGCGCAACCCUUAUCCUUUGUUGCCAGCGGUCCGGCCGGGAACUCAAAGGAGACUGCCAGUGAUAAACUGGAGGAAGGUGGGGAUGACGUCAAGUCAUCAUGGCCCUUACGACCAGGGCUACACACGUGCUACAAUGGCGCAUACAAAGAGAAGCGACCUCGCGAGAGCAAGCGGACCUCAUAAAGUGCGUCGUAGUCCGGAUUGAGUCUGCAACUCGACUCCAUGAAGUCGGAAUCGCUAGUAAUCGUGGAUCAGAAUGCCACGGUGAAUACGUUCCCGGGCCUUGUACACACCGCCCGUCACACCAUGGGAGUGGGUUGCAAAAGAAGUAGGUAGCUUAACCUUCGGGAGGGCGCUUACCACUUUGUGAUUCAUGACUGGGGUGAAGUCGUAACAAGGUAACCGUAGGGGAACCUGCGGUUGGAUCACCUCCUU
rnacentral:rRNA from 1 species